UGCGCAGGCGGAAUAUUAAGUCAGUGGUGAAAUCCUGCGGCUCAACCGUAGAACCGCCAUUGAUACUGAUAUUCUUGAAUGUAGUUGAGGUAGGCGGAAUGUGUAAUGUAGCGGUGAAAUGCUUAGAUAUUACACAGAACACCGAUUGCGAAGGCAGCUUACUAAACUAUGAUUGACGCUGAUGCACGAAAGCGUGGGGAGCGAACAGGAUUAGAUACCCUGGUAGUCC
rnacentral:rRNA from 1 species